UGAGAAUGGGACAGAAGACAAGAAGGUGUGAUGGUGGAAAGAGGAAAUCCAUCCAGAACUGUCUAGAAGUGCAGGUCUGGCCAGGUCACCCUGUUUGUCCAAGAUGGCAGCAAAUGGGAAUAGACAGGAUGGAGACAGUGGACAAGGAGGAAGAAACCAGAGCUGGCAUGAGAGGAGUCCUUUGCCAAGGCUGUUCAAGGCGAUGGGGUUACGACUCCUCCCAAGGGCUGAGCCCUGGAAGACACCAGGAGGGAGGCGGAGCCUCUAGAGAUUACUCCAAGCCACCUUAAAUGGAGCUGGAAGGUCUGUCAAUUCCCAGAGAGCAGAGAGGAAAUGGAGUGUGAAAAGCUCUCAGCUCUCUAGGCUCCAGGAUCCCCAUGCAACCCUACAGCAUCAAAGACAAAGCUGGAAAUGUGGACCCUGCAGCAAACCUGGGAGGCUGAUACGGAUUUCAGUGUUUGGUUCGGUGAG